rnacentral:lncRNA from 10 species
UGGACCCAGCGUCAUCGGAAACAAAAGCCAAGAAUGCUGAGGGGCCCCCGGGGCCAGUGACAGCGGCUGGCCGGGCGCCAGCAAUCACCAUAGGGGCUGUAACCUCGGUGCUCGGACGGACUCAGGACAGACGCCGGCGCUCCGAUGCAGUCAGGACAGACGCCAGCGCUCGGACGGACUCAGGACAGACGCCGGCGCUCGGACGGACUCAGGACAGACGCGGGCGCUCGGACCGACUCAGGACAGACGCGGGCGCUCGGACGGACUCCGGACAGACGCGGGCGCUCGAAGGACUCCGGACAGACGCCGGCGCUCGGAUGGACUCUGGAUAGACGCCGGCGCUCGGACGGACUCAGGAUAGACGCCGGCAGACCCACACCUCACUGAGGGCCAGGGAAGAGCAAUGCUGCCCAGGAGGGCCCGUCCACCUGUGGGGCCUGGAGAUGCAGGACAAGCAUCAUUUGACUCCAGGGAACAGCAAUGCCGGCCGGGAGUGCCCAUCCAUGGGAAGAUGCUGGAGAAUCGACGUGGUUCCUGGUCCUGCUGCUGGGUCAGGACCUCAGAGGCCCCUGGAGUAUGUGCCUAGCCCACCCGCCCCCAGGCCCUCGCCUUCCAUAACCAACUCAAAAUGAAAACAGACCAAACCAUACAAUAAAAACGUGCAAUUUUAACAGUGGGGGAGCCUAACGUGGGCGGAAGGCGCGGGCUGCCCGGGGUUGGAUUCCGGGCCUUUCCUUACCAGCUGCACGACCUUGGGGACGCUGCGUACAUCUCCCUGUCCUCGAUUUCUCUUAUCUGUGAAAUGGGGAGAUCACAGAACCUCUUUCAAGGUCCCUGUGAGUGUGUUCAUAGAUACAAACCCUUAGAACGAUGUCUGGCAUUAGACACAGUGAUCAACAAUCAGGUGUUAUCAUUGAACGUGACACACGGAGCCCGUGUCUGCUGGAAUGAAAGCAGGUUCCUUCCGGGUUUGGGCUGCUCCUGAGUUCGCUUUGUGCCUGUGGGUCUGGACAGUCCAGGCCUCUGGGGCCUUUCCCCAGGGCUCCAGCCAGACAAUGGUGGACACGGCGCAGGGGCAGAGGGUGCUGGCCGG